GACGAACGCUGGCGGCGUGCCUAAUACAUGCAAGUAGGACGCAGUUGCGAACGGGUGAGUAACGCGUAGGUAACUACCUAUUAGAGGGGGAUAACUAUUGGAAACGAUAGCUAAUACCGCAUACUAGUUGAUGGACCUGCGUUGUAUUAGCGAGUAGGUAGGGUAAUGGCCUACCUAGGCAACGAUACAUAGCCGAGCGGAGAGGGUGAUCGGCCACACUGGGAGUUAGUCAAGGCCCAAAAACCUACAGGAGGGAGCAGUAGGGAAUCGUGGGAAAUGGGGGGAACCCUUGCCGAGGAACGCCGCGUGAGUGGAGAAGGUUGUCGGAGCGUAAAGCUCUGUUGUUAAGGAAGCGGUACUUAACGAGAGAGGGACGGCUAACUACGUGCCAGCAGCCGCGGUAAUAC
rnacentral:rRNA from 1 species